AUGAGGAAGAGUCUGGAGAUCAGUGCUGCAGACAAACACAAAUACACCUGCUCUGUCACACACCUCAGUCUGGACGACAAACUGGACAUUGAUUUGGAGUAUCCAGGGGAAACAUUUGUGGUGGUGGUUUUGGCAUUGGGAUUGGUGUUUUUGACUGUGGUUGCCAUUUUUAUAUCGAGGAGAAGGUAUCGUUCAGUUUCCUCUUCAAGUAACUACUCUUCUGCUUCUAGUGGGUAUUUUCUGUCCAGGUUGUGAUUUAAUUAAUUUGCACGAAGAAUAACAAAAUAUAAAUUAAUCUGAAUAUUUUCUAACACAUUCUUUUUUUUACCAUCAUUUUCAGCAAGUGAAGAUGGCAUGAAUAAAACCUAAUUUGGUUUCUUGGUGAAGUAAAUUAAGAUUUAUUUGCACAAUAGAAAGUACAGAUAAUAUUAUUUAUUAUAUUAUUUAUCAGCAAUAUUAUUAUCUUCAGCAAAAACGUAUCAGGGAAUUGGUCUUUGUGAACUGCGGGACAACAACAAACCUGGACAAAU
rnacentral:lncRNA from 1 species